rnacentral:tRNA from 1 species
AGUUGAAAAAAAGAAUCGAACUUUUCCCUAGUAGCUCCUAAAACUACCGCAUUACCAAUUUGCUACAUCAAC